rnacentral:lncRNA from 1 species
UGCUCCUCCACGACGCUCCCCUCCCUCUUCUCUUCUGUCCCAUCCCACGCCCAGACACCUGACUCCAGGGCCCCACACCUGUCCCAGGUCCCGCACACCUGUCCCCCGGUUCCCCUACGCCCGCCCCCGGCACCCCUCCUACCUGCCAGGCAAGCCGUGGCGUCCACCCACUUGAGCAGCUGCCCCGCGCUGAGCUCGCCGCGGGCGUCCGCGUGCGCGGGCUGGAUGGCUUGGGUCAUGCACACCUCGCCGGGCUCCAUGGCCGCGGACGCCGGGACAGACCCCGGACAGCGGGACAGCCGGACAGCGGGACAGAGGACAGGGGACUGCGGGCACGGCGCCACUCGCCGGCUGCGGGCGGGAGCUCACAGGGCGCGUCGCGGUGUCGCUGGGCCGGGGUCGGGAGGGGACGGUCGGGGGCAGCCCUUGCCUCUCCGGAGCCGGCGCCGGCGUCUCUGAGUCUGGGAGGGAACGCGACAGGGACGGCCACACGUGCCCGGGUCAGGGAGCCGGCGAUGGAAGUGCCCGCCUUCGAAACUCGUCCGCGUGUGCUUGGCUUUGUUUUUAAACCGUUGUUUGCUUGUUUACUUGUUUUCCCAGCUGCCCCCUGUCACCUCGGGCACCUGUCCAAGCCCCAGUUCAAAAUCCACCUCGGCCUCAGCGGGAGGCUCCAAAGAUCACCGUUGUGAAAUCGCUCCCAGCUCCAAACAGGAACAUCUGAAUUCUGCCCUGAGAAGAUUCUGUCCCCAACAAGCAUCCGUUGCCAGAGUGCAGAGCUGUCUCAGCCAAAUACAGCAGCACCCCAUGGAUAAGUGGGUUGUGAAUGAGACUAUGUGGCAUCAUCUGCACUGUGCCACUCCUGGAACUCCUGCGUGGGGCGGGGCUUUACUCUGUUUGAUGGAAAGCCCGUGCUUGUAUGGCUCCAGCGCUGCUCUGUCCACGUCUUCCUGGCCUUUGACUGCUGUCCGCGAAGUCCUGAUUGCCACUGCUGCCACCUCGCAUGGUACGAGGGCACACGGACUGCUCUGCCAUCCUCGACUCCGCUGGGUCAUGCAUGCCGCUGACUUCUGUUUCCUAAUGGUUUAUGAAAGAUUUUCAUGGCCAAAUUUUGGAGAAAUACUGUUGUGCACAUCUUUUUAAAAUUUUUAUUUGGCCUUGUUUACAGUACAUGAUUACAUUCACCACAGGGAGUUGGCACCUGUACAUAACACUUCUUAAUUCUUCUUCCUCUUUCUAAAGUCUUAUUUUUUUUCUUUUUAAAGCUUUGUCUGGUUUUCAUAUCAGGUUCAUCAAGUAGAGCAAGAAGUUCCCCUCUACAUUCUAGAAGAGACUGUGUAGAUUUGGUGUUCUUUAAACAUUUAGUAGAUUUCUCCAGCAAAGCCAUCAGAAUCCCAGAAAUUUCUCUUUUGAAAUGUUUAAAUUAUGGAUUCAUCUUUUCCCCCAAUGCUGGGGAUUGAACCUAAGAUAUUUGCACUGAGCUACAUCUCCAGCCCUUUUGAGUUUUUAUUUUGAGACAAGGUCUCCCUAAGUUACUAAGGAAAGUGCCCAGAUUGAACUCAAAUUUGAGAUCCUCCUGCCUCAGCUUCCCAGAGUGCUAGGAUAACAGGUGUGUGCCACCAUGCCCAGCUUCAUUUUUAAAAAUAGUAAUCAGGCUACUCAAGUUAUCUAGUCCUAUGGGGUACACGCCUGGUUUUACAGGACUGGUCUAUUUCAUCUUGAGAUGAUUUGCACCAGGAAACGCUGAGCUCACCCCUGACCUGGUGCCCUUCUGCCCCCUGGCAGUGACCUUCCUGGGCCCUUUGGGCCUACUGCUGUCCCUUCCUGUCCCUCUGGGUUUCCAUGCCCUCUCCAGUCUCUGUCCCAGCAUUUCCUUCCUUCUUAAACGGGCCCUCAAGAUUCUCUGGCCUGACCUGGAGUCCCUGAAUCAGGAGUUCUGAGGAGGGACCACAGCCUGGGUUUUAUAGCACUUCUACCCUGGCUCACAAGCUACUGCUUAGGAAGACAUUUUUCAGCAAAAGAAUGAAGUUUUCCCUUCCAUCCUUCCCAAGAAUCUCGGACAAACAGCAGCCUGUAGAGAUCAGCGGAAGUGUGUACAAUGUAGGUAGAGAGCCCAUGUGUGCUGGAAAGCUGUGCUUGGGUCUGACCUGGGCGGACCUUGAAUGGAUGUUCCCUCUUCCACAAUAGUGUGGUAAUGUCUUCAUCACUUGCCUUGUGGCUGAGACCCAGCUUCUGACAUCCACCAUUUACAGGAGGAGAAGCUUCUUUUGGCUUACAGUUCAGUCCAGGCUGGGCCAGCUCCCAAGAAGGAACAGCAUGCUAGAGGGGCAGGGAAGAGGGAGAGCUGCUCACGGUAUGGAGGACAGGAAACAGAAAGGAAGGGAGGAGAGGGGGAGGGAGAUGCACCCUGCCAGGCCACACCCUGUGAUCUCCUUCCGGCCAGGCCCUGCCUCCUAACAGCAAGUCAUCUGUGAGCCCCAGAGUCCAAUCACCUUCCAAACGCAUGAAGCUCUGGGCCCAUUUUAGGCCUAAACCCUAACACAGUAGACCCUGGAAAUUCAAUGUAAUCAUGAAAAACAUGAUUUAAUGGGAUUACUGAGUUCUCACAACCACCCUGCAAAUUGCAUUCUCUUCAUAGAGAUGGGAAGUGAAGCCCAGGUCAUUAACACUCAUGAGGGGCCACACCUCCCUAGCAGGCAUGGAAACUGUUAUAUUUCCCAUGUUAUGGGCAAGGAAAUUGUAACUUUCCUGAGAUCACACAGUCAGGAGCCAGUAGAGGCACAGAGCUAGGCUCUGGUCUGAGGUAGCUGGGAAGUGCUGAACGUGCUCCAGAGCACAGAAGCAAGAAAGGGAGAAGCAGGCAUGGUACCCAGGUCUGUCUCACUCCAAAGCCCAUGAAGUUGCUUCUAAUCCAAGCUGCAUUCAUUUAUUCAUUCAUUCAACGCAUGGGCUACCCACUGCCUCCUUUGUCUGGGGCAUUAGACAAAUGCUGCUGAGUAACAGGAUGUGGACCUCACUUUCAUAGCUUUUGGAUUCAAGGACAACAUAGGUGAAAAUGCUACAAAAAUAGUGUAACCUGUGUGGUGGUGCAUACCUGUAAUUUCAGUGUUCUAGGAGGCUGAGGCAAGAGAAUUGCAAACUUGAGCCCAGCCUGGGCAACUUAGUGACUUAACAAGAUGCUGUUUCCAAAAAAAGUACAUUGUUAAUUAGAAAAAUUGGGUGAACAUGAAAUGGAAUAAACAUGUUUGGAAACCAG